AACGAACGCUGGCGGCAGGCCUCAAACAUGCAAGUCUAGGGGGUGCAGCAAUGCAUCACCGGCGGACGGGUGCGUAACGCGUGGGAAUAUACCUAUUGGUUCGGAACAACUGCGGGAAACUGCAGCUAAUACCGAAUGUGCCCGCAAGGGGAAAGAUUUAUCGCCAAUGGAUUAGCCCGCGUAGGAUUAGCUAGUUGGUGGGGUAAGUGGCCCACCAAGGCUCCGAUCCUUAGCUGUUCUGAGAGGAAGAUCAGCCACACUGGGACUGAGACACGGCCCAGACUCCUACGGGAGGCAGCAGUUGGGAAUCUUGGACAAUGGGGGAAACCCGUGAUCCAGCCAUGCCGCGUGAGUGGUGAAGGCCUUCGGUUGUAAACUACUUCGUACGGGAC
rnacentral:rRNA from 1 species